rnacentral:rRNA from 1 species
CAGCAGUCGCCGCGGGAAUACGAAGGGUGCAAGCGUUACUCGGAAUUACUGGGCGUAAAGCGUGCGUAGGUGGUGGUUUAAGUCCGUUGUGAAAGCCCUGGGCUCAACCUGGGAAUUGCAGUGGAUACUGGGUCACUAGAGUGUGGUAGAGGAUAGUGGAAUUUCCGGUGUAGCAGUGAAAUGCGUAGAGAUCGGAAGGAACAUCUGUGGCGAAGGCGACUAUCUGGGCCAACACUGACACUGAGGCACGAAAGCGUGGGGAGCAAACAGGAUUAGAUACCCCCGUAGUCCCUGUCUCUUAUAC